AGAGCGAACGCUGGCGGCAGGCCUAACACAUGCAAGUCGAGCGCCCGUAGCAAUGCGGGAGCGGCAGACGGGAUAGUAACACGUGGGAACGCGCCCUUCGGUUCGGAAUAACUCAGGGAAACUUGAGCUAAUACCGGAUACGCCCUUACGGGGAAAGAUUUAUUGCCAAAGGAACGGCCCGCGUCCGAUUAGCUAGUUGGUGAGGUAAUGGCUCACCAAGGCGACGAUCGGUAGCUGGUCUGAGAGGAUGACCAGCAUCACUGGGACUGAGACACGGCCCAGACUCCUACGGGAGGCAGCAGUGGGGAAUAUGGACAAUGGGCGCAAGCCUGAUCCAGCCAUGCCGCGUGGAUGAUGAAGGCCUUAGGGUUGUAAAGUCCUUUUAACGGGGAAGAUAAUGACGGUACCCGUAGAAUAAGCCCCGGCUAACUUCGUGCCAGCAGCCGC
rnacentral:rRNA from 1 species